CAAAGAGAAAGGAUCAGAGAGCAUCACAACUUCUGUCACUGGAGAGAAGGGAACUUACUGGACAAAGCCUGAAAAAAAAUCCAGAAGACGAUGAUGAAGAAUUUAUUGGUGAUGUUUCUUGUUGCUGGCAUAGCCACAAUACUGCCGACUGCUGCUCAAACAACUGCUGUGCCAACCACCACCACUACUGCUUCAACAAUAACCACUGCUGCACCAUCAAGCACUGCUGCACAAACAGCUUCCACA